GAUGAAGAACGUAGCGAAAUGCGAUAAGUAGUGUGAAUUGCAGAAUUCAGUGAAUCAUCGAAUCUUUGAACGCACAUUGCGCCUUCUAGUAUUCUGGGAGGCAUGCCUGUUUGAGCGUCAUUAAACCUCUCUCAAGUAUGAUUACUUGGAUGUGAAGGAAGAGUACCUUAAACUUAAGGAGUGUUCUCCUUUGAAAUUGAUUAGCAGAUGGUAAUGUUAUUAAAUCCCUGAUGUUGUAAGAAAUAACAGUGGUUUUGUAGACUAUUAUCUAGCUUUAACUUAUAAUUUUUAUUAUGGUUGACCUCAAAUCAGGUAAGGAUACCCGCUGAACUUAAGCAUAUCAAUAAGCGGAGGA
rnacentral:misc_RNA from 1 species